UAAACUACGAUUAGAUACCCUAUUAUUUUAAAUGUAAAAUAGUUUAACUUGAGUAGUAAUAGUUAUGUUCUUGAAACUCAAAGAAUUUGGCGGUGUUUUAGUCCUUUCAGAGGAACCUGUCCCGUAAUCGAUAGUCCACGUUAUACCUUACUUAGCCUUGUUUAUCAGCUUGUAUACCGCCGUCGUCAGAAUGUCCUUAGAGGGUUAUAAUUUUCUUUAUUUUAAAUUAGAAAUGAUGUCAGGUCAAGGUGCAGUUUAUGGCUAAGUGGAGAUGGGUUACAAUAAAUUUUAUUUAAAUGGAUAAUGAGUAAAAUUACUUAUUUGAAGGUGGAUUUGAUUGUAAUAAUUUGAAUUUAGAAAUUUUGAUUUUGGCUCUAAAACAUGCACACAUCGCCCGUCGCUCUUA
rnacentral:rRNA from 1 species